AAGUCGUAACAAGGUUUCCGUAGGUGAACCUGCGGAAGGAUCAUUACCAAAUCCAAAAAAAACUUUCUAUCAACACCCCAAUGUGAACUGAGAAUGGUUUCGUCCCUCCGAAUUCUUCUCUUCUUCGGAAGAAAGGGAGGAGGAGGGAUGUUCAAACACAUUUUUUUUUUCAACCCCUUUUCAACCAUUAAAAACCCAUUUUUUUAAUGCUGAAAGCAAAACAAAAAAUACGAAACAUGAGACAACUUUUAACGGUGGAUCUCUUGGCUCGU
rnacentral:misc_RNA from 1 species